AUCCUUCCUGAAUACCAGAGUUUGGCCAGCGCCAGAAGUGCUUAUUUUGCUUGCGAUAAAAAGAUCUAAGAACUCGCUUGUAGCGAUAUCAAUCACGUCUUUCUAUUUCCUGUAGCAAUUAUACACUGAAGAAUGUAUUGUUCGCGAUGGUAAAACAACACUAAACAGAUUGCAGUAAAAACGCAUUAUAAGCGAUAUUCCAGGAAGUGGGAAAGUGCUGUAAAAUUUUAUACGUAAACUAAUGCAACUUCAAAGAAAGUAUGUCUAGCAGCGAUCUUUCCUCUAAAGAAGCCAUUAAACGCUUCCUUCCGGCGUAAAGCAAUGGUGAAUGCUGCCGAUCGGCAUAGAAACAAGCAUUAGGCGAGUACCCCACGCCCAUAAUGAGCAGCCUUUGGGAUUGGAAAAGUUGAUCUUUCACGUGCUGUUUGUUAAGAGUUAUUAAUUUGCGGUCGCAACGCCGUGGAAGAUGAUUUCCGGAACAAAACGCCGAGUUGGUUUGUAUGAUUGAAAGUGAAGCCGUUGGGUAAGAACUACAGAUUUGAUAGGGUACUAGCUCUGGAUGAUGAAUUUGCCAAAUUAACGAAUUACCCCGGCUAUCGCAUAGUAUUUGAUGAACGUUUUGUGAUGAAACGAUUAGGGCAGUUCGAUAAAGAAACCACUACCUGUUGGGUCAAAUAUCAACUAUUGAAACCGACCAGUACUAACUGUUGUUUGUUUAAGUUGAGCGGCGUCGGCGUUUCAACAUUAAUGAUAAAAUCAAGGAACUGGGCACACUGCUGCCGAAAAACAUGG